CUACCAAAUUCAUUUCUAGAAUGAGGCAAGUCAGUAGAGGAUGUGAAAGGGAGAUCUCAUUUUGGAAGCAGUAUUUUUGAGUAAUUGCUUGCAUUGCCCUAGGAAGCACUGCUCUCCCAUUGUGCCUGCAGAUAUUGUCACACUAGCAAACUAUGUUUUGAGUUGAUGAUUGCCAGCACUGGGUACUGCCCCAACUUUCAUAAACUGGACUUGUGAAAUCCAGUUCUGUGGAAUGUUUAGGGAGGAGGGACCUUCCCCUUCUAACAAUUUAAGCAAUGUCUAAGCACAGCAAUCAGUAAUAUGGCAAGAAUGUCAGAUCCUUAAUCAGCUUCAGGUUACUAAUUCCAGAUAUUUAUGAAAUGACUUGAGGUAAAGGAAUGCUUUGUAGCAGACUGCAUGAUAAAAAAAAAAAUAAACAGUAAUUUUCUAACACUGUUUGAACCAGCUCAUCAAUAUACAGCACUCUCCUGGCUGGUGAAGCUAUCAUGCAGUGUUCUUCAGUUCAAGCAGAGAGAAAAUAGUACAACUCUCUCUCUGUACCUCCCUCCCUCCCUUCCUUUCAGAGGGGUUAUGAUGGCUGGGUGGAGGGCAUCCAGAAUAGCCAGAGAUGUCUAAGGAAGUGUGAUGUGUUUGUUCACCGGCUGAUUGACUGAUAGAUGUUUCGAUUUUGUCCUGCAAAGAAACAAAGGAAAGAAAAGUGCUAAUAGAAAAGUUCCCCUCUUGAUGUCCAAUCCGAUGGAAUUUAGUGAUGGAUAAAACAUUCUCAUUUAUUUGUGCAAGAGUGGCCCGAGGCAUUUUGCUGUCAGAAGUAAAGGACAAUGUGGCACCUCUCUCUAUUUCAUAUACAGGAGCCAGCUUGAACAAUAGCUGAAUCUUGCUUUAAGAAUGGCAAUGAGAUAGUGUCUUCCAUCACACCCAGGGCAGCAGGCUAUUUAAGGUUCAUAGGAACAGUCACAUAGCUCUGUUCUCCAGGGGAAUGGCAAGAAGUCUCGGGAGGAAUAUUUGGUGUUGAUAACAAAGAAACAAGCUAGAAUAUUGGCCAUUAGGGAAGGCAGAUCUUCCCGUUUAAGGGUGACUCACUCGAAGUAUCUGACACCUCUCGACUCUUAACCUGACCUUUUAUCUUUAGAUUAAAUAAUAGGUCUGCCUAUUCCACCUUUGUGUGUUCACUGAACAUGCCAAACUAAUUUGAAACUAUUUGAUUCUCAUCAACAACCUGACUUUUUUUCUGGUGCCUUUGGCCUUGACAUUUCAGGUUCUGAAGAUUUUGGCCCUUAUUCUUCAUCUGAAUUAGAAUCCUUCUCCACAGCCUUUGAAGGCUCUUCUGCAGGAGUGGUGGGACCAUUCUCUACAUCCACUGUAUUUCAGAGAAGCUCUAUUGAACAUCUGAAAUCCUGCUCCUUGCACCCUUACUUUCUGGCUUCAGAACGUUAUGAACCCUGUGAUGAAACAAUCUAAAAUCAAGCAAAAGAUAGUUCAAGAAGAUGAGAAUCCCAGGUCAGAAGGUACUCAAUCAGCUACUGUGAAAGAGCAAAGGACAAGUACAAAUAGUGUCGUCGCUAAUUAUGCUACCAGAUCAAAGCUGAAAGGAAGUCUAAUGGCUGAUAUGUGAAGAAGCAAAAGGAACACCAGUGUAGCACACCAUAUACCAUUUGAACAAGGAGCAAUAGAAGUAUGAAUCAAGGCUAACUGGAAACCAUAAAGUAUCACAGUCUCUGCUGUAUGAGGACUAAAUUGGGCUGCAAUGGGACAUUUUCAGCCAGACAAACACAAACUGUUUAUUCUGGAAAUGGCAAACUAGAAAUGAACUGGCUCUAAUAUUGAGGCAAGAAGUAGCACAGGCAGUAAAAGUGCAUUAAUGCAAAGUCUGACUGAAUCAUAUCAAUUAGAAUUCUCAGAAAACCUAUCAACAUAACCAUCAUUCAAGUUUAUGCGCCAACAACAGAUGCUGAAGAAGAAAUUGAAAACUUUUACACAACAUCCAAGAGGAAAUAGCUAGCACACCAAAACAAGAUAAGUUGAUAAUCAUGAGUAACUGGAAUACAAAACUAGGAAACAAAGCAGAAUCCAGUGUUGCAGGAGAAUCUGGCCUAGGAGUCAGAAAUGAAGCAGGAGCACAACUCAUAAAAUUCUGUGAAGCCAACAUCUGUGUACUUCAAAUACAUACCUCAGGCAACCAAUCAGAUGACUAUACACAUGGACAUCACCAAAUGGCCAGUAAAGAAAUCAAAUAAACUCUGUAGUUGGAAGUAAAAGAUGGAGAUUCUGUAUUCUUGCUGCCAAAACAAGACCAAAAGCUGCCUGUGGUAGUGACCAUGAACUCUUAAUAUCUAAAUUCAGACUAAAGCUGAAACGAACAAUUAACUGAAACAUAGUGCCAAAAUACUUCAAUGACAUUCCCAAAGUCCAGAUAAAGAACGUAUUUGCAGUACUGAACACAACUGACCAUGAACCAUAAGAACAGUAGACUGAAACUAGAGCCCUUAUUCAGGAAGCAUGCUAAAAGACCAUCCCUGCAGCAAAAAGAAAAGCAAAGCUUGGAUGGAUGAUUUAAAAAAAACACUCACUAUUGGUGAGGACAGAGGAGAAGAAAAAGUGAAAGAAAUAAGGUCAGAAAUCUGAAUGCAUCUUUUCAGGGAAUGACAUAUAGAGACAAAAAACACUAUUACAAUGGUCAGUGCAAAGAAAUAGAA